CGUUGAUUAUAAAAUCAACGGUGUCAUACACUAAAAUACGAAGCGAGUACAUCCCAAGUGUACUAGUCUCCUACACAACCUUUUUACUACUGGUGCACAACCAAAUAGCACAUGUGUAGAGGUAGAUCUCUCAUCAGUGCAAUGAAGUUUGACAACAAAAUAAACUACAUACACAACUUUUUUUCUGCUGGCCAGCCGCCGGAUAUGCAUAUCAUGUGUAUAUAAGAGUAGUGCACUUGAGGCAUUUGAUCUCCUGCUUCACAAGCUAGGCUUGUACACAUAAUGUCGACUAGUGCUGCAUAUAUAGUAGGAGUUGGAGACACUAGGAAACAUGAUACGACAAAUUGAAACGAGAGUUUUCCCAUAAUGUUUUUGGGUGCUACCUUGAAGGUUCUCUCAUCAUGGCACGGUGGCCGAUUGCUCGACGUCGCCGACUGACUCCUCCGCCGGCUGCAUGGAUCAGCCUGACAAAGUGAAUCAUGGGCAACAUCGCAGUUACCUUACAGCUGCAAGUCUGGGAGUACAAGGACCACCAUAUCUUCCAAGCCUGCAUGCCUUGAGUUGGAUCCAUCUAAUCGUUUACGGUGACGCUCGGGCUUUCAGUGCUUUUGUAUUUUCUUGCUAUAGUUGUUGGCUGGGUUCAAUAAAAGCUUCCUGUAUCUUAAAAAAUCUACGGCAAUGUGCGGGCUCUAUUUGUGUUA